rnacentral:lncRNA from 1 species
GCCAUUCAAAUUAUCAAAUACCGCAAGCAUUUUGGGGCCUUGUAUCAUUGACUGAACCUAAAUGUAUUAAAGAAUUCCUUGAAGACAAAUCAUGGAUUUAAGUAAUGAAAGAGUACUUGGAUCAAUUGGAAAGAAAUUAAGUCUGUAACUUAGUAAAACAUCAAAAGAAUUACUCAUUGAUAAGAACCAAAUGUGUCAAAGAAAAUGAAGAAGAUAAAGUUUUUCAACAUAAAGUAAGGUUUGUAUCUCAAGGUUAUUCCCAACAAGAAAGUAUUGAUUAUUAUGAAAAUUGUACCCCCGUUGCAUGGUUAGAAUCUAUCCAUAUUCUUUUAGCUUUUGCCUCUUUCAAACUUUUAACUUACUUCAAAUUGAUGUAAUAAGUGCCUUCUCAAAUAGUUUUAUCAAUGAAGUUUUUUUAAACAACCUCUCAAAUUUUAAAUCCCUCUUGUCCAGACUAUGUUUUCUAACUCUCAAAAGUACUCUAUGGUCUUAAACAAGCUCCAAAAUCUUGGGAUGAGAGAUUAAGCACUUUUCUAUUAAAUAAUAAUUAUCAAAGAGGAAUAUUGAAACCAUCAUAUUUAUUCAACAAUUAGAUUCAAAUAUUUUUAUUGUAUGGAAAAUAUUAUUUUUAGAAGUCCUAACACCUCGAUGUGCGAGAACUUUAUUAAUAUUUUGAAAGGAGAAUUCUAGAUGAGCGUCAUGGGUGAGAUAAUUAUUUUAUUAGGGAUACAAAUUAAUAAGUAAACUUCCAAACCUUUAUAAGUCUGUGCAAAUACUUUGGAUUAUGCAUCAAAUGCUUGGUUAUGAUGUGUCAUAUGAGUUGGUUAUUAUUAUGUGUGAUAACACAAGUGCUAUUAGUAUUUCUAAAAAUAUUGCUCAUUGUUUGAAGGCUAAAGAUAUUGAUAUUAAGCAUCAUUUUAUUAUAUAAUAUGUUGAAAAUAAUGACUUUGUGCUAAAUUUUAUUGAUUCAGAAAUUAGCUUGUCAACAUUUUUACAAAAUCUCUCUUAGAUGAAAGAAUUUUCUUCCUAAGCAAAAGACUCGGCAUUACUAGCUUAGAUGUGUAUUUUUUAAAUAGACACAAACACACACACACAUACAUUAUGUGCGUGUGUGCAUUCAAAAUCCAUUUUAAACUUCUUAAACUUUCCUUAUUAUUUUUCCUUACAUAAUAUUUAUUUCUUUGUGUAUAAAGUGUUGUGUGUUUCUAGAAUUAAACUCCUCCAUUCCCAAACUCACUUUGAUUCCCUUUGUCCAAGACACAUCUAUAUAUCUCUAUUACUCUACCCUCUUAUAUAUCAUCAGUUGAUUCGGAGAAACGACUGCUCAUCUCCCCUUUUUUCUCUCAAUAUACACUUUUUUUUCCUCACUUUGCUUCAAUAAUGUCUACUAUGAUAUCCAUGGCUUGUCUUUCUCAAACCCCAACCAACUUAUCACAAAAAUCUUCUACAAACAUCUACAAUCUCUUUUUGAAUUAUUUUGUGGGAGAAUCUGAUAUUUCUACAAGAAAGAUGUCUACAAGGCGAGUUCUUAGUAUAAAGUCUAUUCUUGUAAGAAACAUCACUCAAAAUCCCAUAAAUCCUUCUCAAGAAGACAUGCAAAAAUUUUUGGGAGUUGAAAAGAAGGAGAAGUUUGAGAAUAUCAAAGGUCUCUCUAUAGCUUCUUGGAGAGUGAUUAAUCUGAAACAACUGAAAGAGUAUCAUUGCCCGAUAAGUGAUGUUUUUAAAGAUCAAAAUUUGAAAUUUUUUCUUCAAGUCUAUGGCCUUAAGGUUUUUAAAGAUCUAGUUCACCUAUUCUAUGUGAAUCUUGAUUUCUCAAAACAUAGUAGAGAACUUGACACCUCAAUUUUGGAUACUAGGAAUGUGUUUAAUGACUUUUUAUUUGCCAAGGUGUUUGAUAUUGAAACUACUGGUUGUGUCCCUAUAUGAAUAAUAUUUUACCAAAUAAGUUUUAAUUCUCUUCCAAAGGGGAUAAAUCCAUCAUUGUUGAAUUUAGGACUGAUUUAUCUAUUUUUGAUCCUUUGUCUCUUUGUUUUACACAUUCAAUUCUUGCUCACAUUAUUGUUGCCACUAUUUUUCCUUGAAAAGUUCCCUAAGCAAUAUAUCUACUAGGGAUUUGCUUGUGUUGUAUUGUCUUAGAAAGAAAUACCACCUAAAUUAGAGUAGGUGGUUCUGAUACAUAUGGUUUUGAGUUCUCAAGACUUUAGCAUUUUGACCAGCCUACAUUAUGGAGCACUUAUCACUCAUAUUCUUCUCUACUCCAUGAUUGAUCUCUCUGUUUUUCUUGUUGUGCAUAUAUAGCUGGUACUUAUAACUCUCAUGACUUCAAAAGCAUGACGUAUGUGCUAGUUGUGUUUCAAUUACAAAAAGGAUUUUAUCAAGGCUCGAGCUACAAAAUAUAAGCCAAAAAGUCCUUAUCUAACUCUAUAACGGUAUUCUAAAAGAGGUAGAAGGAUUAUAAGAGAGGUUGGUGAUCUUGGAGGAUGGCAUGCAUUAUUUGUAGGAAUCAUUGGGUAAAAUAUGACAGGUCAUGAAGAAAACUAGUAUUGUUGUGGGUAAGCUCAGAAUAACAUUGGACAACUUAAAAGGUGAGGGUGUUCACGACAAGUGUACUCCAUGAAAGAUAGAGCCAGCUCUUCCCACAAUGAGCUUGUCAUUACCUUGCAAACUUCUUAUUGUAACUUUUUAAGAAAUGUGCUAAAGUCAUAUGAUGUUUUCUCUGAGAAUAUGAUCAACACCUUAUUUUAUUUAGAAAAACUGAUUUCCUUGUCUUGGUGAUUCAAUAUGGGUGUGUCCAAUCAGACAGUCUUGUUUAGUUAACUUUAUACAUUAUUUUGAUUCCAUCUCUAUUCUUUGGGGUCUAAACUGACCUAAUUUCUUCUGCUCUAGUAUGACAUUUUAUUUUAUUAUUUUUAUAUAUGUUUUUAUGCAUCUUUUCUUUUUUUAUUAGGCCAAAGGGGAAGAAUACAAGUAAAAACAUGCAGCACUAGUUAAGGGGGAGCUAGCAUAACUUGAAAGGGAGCAAACCUAUUUCAGAGAUGUUAAGGGAAGUGAAAUUAUGUGAAAUAUUUUUGCUAUUGUAAUUAUUAAAAAUGGUGAGAUUGUUAUCACCAUGUGGUUUCAAUAAUGACAAAAUUAAUUCCUAUUAAAUUGCAAGAUGAAUAUGGUAGGAGUUGGACAAGUUAUUUAUUUGAAAAGAAAAGUCCUUAGAAAAAGAAAAGAAUCAGAUCAGGUUGAUGGACUUGAAGAAUGAAAGAAAGGAGUUUAUUUUGUAUAUUCUGAUUUGCAAAAUAAGAUGCCAACAUAAGUCAAGAAAUAUGGGUGUAUCUGAUACAAACAUAUGACAUUAUCUAGGAAUUAAUUUUAUCCCUAGAUAACUACACAAAAGUCCCUUGAGUUCCCCAAAGUAAUAGAGUAAGGAGUUAUAAAAAGAAAAUUCUAAUUCCCUCAAAUUGAGGAAUCUCAAUUAGGCAACAAAGAGGAGAUUGAUCAAGAUUCUAUAACGGUUACUUUCUUCUAAUUCAUGUAUAAAUAUAGCAUAGAAACCUAGGUUUUCUUUCUACAUCUUCACUUAAGAAAAAAACUCUACCUACUUCUUAUUCUUAUACAAAUUAUUGCAAUACGUUAUAGUAAAAGCAAAAGAAAAGAGCCUAAAAGCUAUACAAGUAGAGGAUACUACCAUUCUCAUGAAGUUAACCCAUAAUUCUUGUGAGAAAAAUACUGUAAUCAUUCAAGUUACGCUAAGGGAACCUCUUAUAACCCAAGUAGAUUGAAAGUAGGCACCACAAAGGUAUUUCAAACCAGGAUAAAUUGUUGUGUCAUGUACUUAUUUCUAUUAUUUACUUUAUGUUAUUAUUUUAUUUCUUGAACUAACAUUGUUGUGAAGAAAAGUUGACAAAUUGGUCAUUGUAAUUGACUUAAUGUAUACAAUUUUAGUUUACCCCUCCCCCUCCCCUCUUAAUUAUCAUCCACUCUUUUUAAAAGUAUUGUUGAAGUUUGAGGUACUUGACCUGUACGAGACAAGAUAUACUCUUUGCAGUCAGAGUAGUUAGUCACUUCAUGAAAGCUCCUACCUCCACUCACUUAAUGGUCACUAGAAGAAUUAUUCGUUACGUUAAAGGUACAAUUAUUAACCUUGGGAUAUUUUAUUCAUCCUCUAAUGAGUUUGACCUUAUGGGAAUUUUUAUAACGAUUAUACAGGAAAUGAGGUUGGUAGAAAAAGUACAUUAAAUUUUGUGUUUUUCUUAGGUGAUUUUGUUGUUUCUUGGAUCUCAAAGAAACAAUUCAUUUUGACACUCUUGACUUACGACACUGAAUAUGUGGUAGAAUCAUCCUAUACAUGUUAUGCGAUUUGGCUAAGAAGAUUGCUAAAGGAGCUCGAUUUAUCAUAAGUUAAAGCCACAAUGAUUUAUGGUGAUAACAAAUCUACAUAGGAUGUUGCCAAGAAUAUAGUAUAUCAUGAUUGAAGUAACCACAUAGAUAGAAGGUACCACUUUAUUAGAAAAUGUAUUGCCAAAAAGGAGGUAGAACUCAAGUUUGUAAAAUCUCAUAAUCAAGUUGUUGAUAUCUUUACAAAGCCUCUCAAAUUUGAAGACUCUCAAAUAUUAAGAUCAAGAUUUAGGAUGAAAAAAUAAAAAAUAAGGGAAAGAUUUUUGAGACCAUUAAGUAAAUAUAAUAAAAGAAAUAAAAUGAAUAAAAAUAAAAAAUAAAAUUAUGAGCAGCAGUAGAAGUUGAAAGACAAGUUGUUAUAUUUGUUUUUCAGUGGCCGCAUAUCUUGGAAAUUGCAACUUUGAAAAUUUAAGAAAUCCAAUAUUUUUAUUGGUUAGAUUUUAAAGAAAGUUUUCCUAUAAAAGAAGGCCUUUGUUCGUUCAAUCGAAGCACACCUAUUUUUUAUUCUAUGAGAAAUAGUGUGAGAGUAAUAUUUUAGUGACUUGUGUGAAAUGAAAAAGUGAUAGUUAUUUUAUAAGAGUGAUAGUCUUUUGACAUUGUCAAAUUGUAACUAAUGGUAUUGUAUUACUCCAUUUGAAUAUUAUGUUUACCCCAAAAAUAACAAAUUUUAGUAGAUGAAUUAUAUGUUCCUAACAAAAGUUAAUUAACCCUACCCCGAAAAAACCCUAAUUAUUCAUCCGGCUGCCAUGGCCUCCACCUCUUCCGGUGGGCUUAAACCACUGGAGGAGUAGUCUCACAUGAAUGUCGAUGCUAAUGUUGUUCAAAGUACUAAUUGAUGUUAUAGGAAGAACCUAGUAUCACAUGGAAAAGUUUAGAGAUACAACACUUGAUUGUAUAAGAAAAUUUACAAUAUUAUAUAGUUGGUAAAUUUUCAUGUGGUAAACCCGAUAUGAAUGAACCUCGCAAGGUUAUUCCAGGUCAAUGUGGUAUAAAAGGAGAUUGCACAAUCGGUGUUCUUGAUGCUAGACAUAUUUUAAUUUGUUUAGAAGUUCUUGAAGACUAUGUUACGCUUUUAUCAACGUCAGCAUAUUAUAUCAAGGCUAAGAAUAAAUAUUAGCAGAUGAGAAUAUUGCUAUGGGACCCCUGGUUUGAACCUGAUAUUGAAAUAUCAAUAAGGGUAGCUUGGAUUUCAAUGUAAGAUUUACCUCCAAAUUUCUUUGCAAAAGAGGUUGUCUUUUCUAUAGCAUCAGCUAUCGGGAAACCUUUGACAGUAGACAUGGCAAUGAGAAAUAAAAUAUAACCUAGUUGUUCUAAGGUCAAAGUCGAGGUGGAUUUGGUAGUUAAACUUCCACAAAGAGUAUGAAUUAAUGAAAAAAUUGACAUAACAGGUGCAAUUAAACCGAAAUGGGUAGCAAUGCAAUAUGAUCAUAUGCCCAAGUACUGUAAAGAGUGUUGUUUGCAGGAGCAUGAUAAGAAUAGUUGUUGGAACAUUUAUCCUGAGUUGUAUGAAAAUACAGGAGACAAAUAGUUACCAGAACAAAUUCAAGGAAAUAAAGAUGGUGCAACCUGUAAUGUUGAAAAGGAAGUAUUAGCAAAAAUCAGCAAUAAUGAAAGAACAAACAAUAAGUUGCAAUGGCAUACAAGGAGGAAUAAAUACAAAAAAGACAAAUAUGGGCACAUAACAGGUGAAGUUGGGAAAGAUGCAGUUGAAAAUGUUCCAAUUAAUAAUAAUUUGACAUCUUUAUAACAAGAAGAGGAGAAUGAGGAGAGGCAAGAUAAAUAACACAUGGAAUAUAUGCAAAAGGAGGAUAAGGAGCAGAAUCAAAGCACCAAAUAAGGGGUUACAAAUACUUUUGGUGUUGAACAAGGAGUAAAGAAUACGAACAAAAAUACUAGCCCCAAGCAGAGGCAAGUUCAGGGGAAAGGAAUAUAGACUCAUGUAGAUGGAGAGCAGAAACAAUAAUUAAUGGAACUAGCACUUGUUGAACAUUCUAAUGAAUCAGAAAAAGUAGAGGAAGGAGUAGUAUACUACCUUUGGCCAUACAGGCUAAUCACCAAAUGGAAUUGGCAAACAAGGACAAAGAAUCCUUGGAUAAGGGAGAUUUAGAAGACAAUAUUGAUAGAGUGACCAUUGAGGGAGGAUUAUGUCCAAAGAAAAUUGACACAAUUAAAUCAGCAGCUGGGAAAAAGAAGAAAAAGCACAACAAAGCAAGUGCUAACACAAUGCUUACCAGAAGUCAAUCUAAAAAUAACUUAGUAUGAAAGCAUUAUUGUGGAACAUAAGAUUAGUUAAUACAAAGAAAGCUUUUUCAAGACUGAUCUCAAUGCAAAAAAGACACCAUUUCCUCUUUAUUGGUCUCAUGGAAACUUUUCAUGAUGCCAACAUAAUUAAGGAGUACAGAACCAGAUUAGGUAUGCAGCAAGUAGUAAGUAAUUCCUCUGGAAAAAUAUAGGCUUUUUGCGAUGGAGGAGUCCAAUGUAAUGUGGUAAAAGAUGAAGAGCAGAAAUUAACUUUGAAGAUUUUUACUUAAGAAGAAGGAACUGGAGUAGUAGUUACUAAGUGUACAAAUCAGGAAAGGAUGGCAUUAUGGGAAUCUCUAGCAGAUAUGGCUCAAUCUAUGAAUAAAUCAUGGAUGGUUGGGGGAGAUUUCAAUGUAGUAACUAGCAAUGAAGAAAAACUUAGAGGCUUAUCUAUUACAGUAGCAGAUACAACUGAUUUUAAUCACUAUAUUAGUAUUUGUAAUUUAGAAGACCCAGGUUUUAAAAGGAGUAAGUUUACAUGGAGGAAUGGGAGAUUGGAUGAGGCUUGUAUAUUUGAGAGGCUAGACAGAGUAUUAUGGAAUAACAAACUGCAAAAUUUGCUCCAAGUACUAAAAGUAGAGCAUUUGCCUAAAAGUGGAUCAGAUCAAACUCCUUUACUAUUGCAGAUGUAUAAUCCUCAGGAAAAAAGAUCAUUAAAUCUUUUAGAUUUCUAAACUUUUGGCUAAAGGAUGAGACUUGUUUAGAGCUAAUUAGGCAGAAUUAGACAAUAGAAGUGUAGGGUAAUCCAUCUAUCAUGUUUUAUCACAAGUUGAAGAAAACUAGUAAAGCAUUAACUCAGUGGAGUAAAGAGAGAUUUGAUAAUAUUUUUCGAGAAAUUUCAUCUCUUGAGGAAGCUAUUAAAGUAUUAGAGGUCCAAUUUGAAUAGAAUCCAACUGGAGAUAAUAGAAAUAAAUUAUUCAAAGUGCAGGUAGACCUGAAUAUGCAACUCAGAAGGGAGAAGGACUUUUGAAAACAAAAGUCAGGAUUUGAGUAGUUUAAGGAUGCUAGGAGGAACACUAAAUUUUUCCAAAUUAUUAUAAGAUUUAGAAGAAACAGGCUGAAGGUAAAUAGAAUUCAAAAUGAAGAAGUGGAGUGGAUGGAUAAUCAGGUAGACAUCUCUGAGGCUGUAGUCAGAUUUUUUUGAAAAGCAAUUUACCAAAGGGUAGCAAUGUGAAGACUUCUCUAUUUUGAAGGAAAUACCAUAGGUAAUUGAUUCUAAUCAAAACAAAGAGUAGAUUGUAUAUCCAACAAUGCAGAAAGACAAAGAAGUUGGAAUGGGUCUUAGCAGAAAUAGUGCAGGAGGGCCAGAUGGUAUGACUGGAUCAUUUUAUCAAGAUUCUUGGGAAAUUAUUAGGAAUGACAAUUAAGAUGUGGUAAAUAUAUUUUUGGUGGAUAUGAACUGCCCAAGUUUAUUACCCACACAAAUUUAGUAAUGUUACCAAAGAAGUUGGUGCUUAACACUUUUUCUGACUUUAGACCAAUUUCUCUAUAUAAUUUUAUCAACAAGAUAUUUCCAAGAAUCAUAAAUGAUAGAAUUAAGAAGUUGUUGCCAUGGAUUAUCUCAGAAGAGCAAGCUGGUUUUAUAAAUAGGAGUAUAGCAGAGAAUAUUCUAGUGGUACAGGAGAUUAUGUCAAAAAUUAAUAAAAGACAUAAGCCUCCUAACAUAGUCUUAAAGCUGGAUAUGAUAAAAGAUAUGAUAGGGUAGAAUUGAUUUUCUUGACAAAAGUCAUGAGAAAAAUAGGUUUUGGAGAAGUUAUUAUAGAAUUGGUGUAUAGGCUGUUGAGUAAUAAUUGGUAUUUAAUCCUUUUAAAUAGUCAACCUAAGGGGUUCUUUAGACCUACUAGAGGUUUGAAACAAUGAGAUCCUCUGUCACCAACUCUUUUUAUUAUUGCAACUGAGGUAAUGUCCAGGUCUCUUAAUAAGUUAUUGUUGAAUAAAGAGUUCAAAACUUUUGGGAUUCCUAGAGGAAGUUCUAAAUUGAAUAAUUUAGCUUUUCAUGAUGAUAUGAUUAUUUUAUGCAAGGCAAAUAUCAAUACUUUGAGAUUGUUGACAGAAAAUUUAGAGAAGUAUGAGAGAGCUUCAGCACAUAGGAUCAAUAAUGAUAAGAGUCCUAUAUAUUUGCAUAAAAAUAUGUCUUAUGGGGUAGCGGCUAUGGCAGAGGUGAUAACGGGAAUAAUGAGGAAUGAUUUCCCUUUUACUUACCUUGGUUGUCCUAUUUCCAUAUGAGAAAGAAGAAAGAUUACUAUCAGGGGUUGAUGAAUAGAAUAAGUGGUACUUGCUAUGUUGGAAGGGUAAGUUACUAUCAUAUGGGGGAAGGGCCAUUUUGAUUAAACAUGUUCUUCAGAGUAUUCCAGUUCACUGUUUAGCAAUAAUGAAUCCCCCAAUGAAUGUAGUGAAUCAAAUACUGGGGAUUCUUGCUCAAUUUUUUGGAGCAGCUACAUAGGGGGUAACAGUAAACAUUAGGUAAAGUGGCAAGAUAUAUGUGUACCUGAGGAAGAAGGGGGGUUAGGCUUUAGAUUGUUAAAACAUAUUUCUAUGGCUUUAUUUUGCAAACUAUGGUGGAACUUCAUAACCAAAAAGUCUAUUUGGGUGGACUAUAUGCAUAAUAAGUAUUGUUAGAAAUAACAUCCUAAUAUGAUUCUGUGCAAGAAAAUAGCUGGGGGUUCACAAGUGUGGAAGAAAAUGUUAUAGGCUAGAGAUUUGAUAGAGCAUCAAAUAUUAUGGAAAGUCAGGAUUGUAGAAUCUACCACUUGGUGGGACAACUGGAAAACAUUAGGGAGUCUGUACCAUGUUACAGAAAUUGACUUGAUGUGGGAUGAUAGGUUUCAGAAGCUAAUAACAUUGACAAGGCAAGCAACAUGGAAUGUUACUGUGUUGAAUCAGUUAGUGCCAGGGGAAAUUGUUAAUCACACCCUAGAUAAUGUACAGCCACCAGAUAGGAGUAGGGAAAAUGAUAAACCCAUUUGGAUACUUAAAUCUAAUAGGAAAUUUACUUUUAAGUAUGCCUAGUAGUAUAUUAGGCAGAUGAAGGAAAAGAGUGAAAUUUUCAAGGAUAUGUGGAUAAAAGGGCUACCUUUAAAAUUCUCCUUUCUAAUAUGGAGAAUUUGGAAAGGAAAAAUACCAGUUGAAGAGGGUGUUAGAAAGUGGGGGUGGAAGGCCCUACCAAAUGUUGGUGUUGUACUACCCAUGCUCAAGAUACCAUUUCACAUGUGUUUCUGAUAGCUUCUAUUUCUAACAAGACAUGGUCCUACUUUUCCUAUUUUACAGGUAUAAAUAUACAAGGACUAAACUUUAUGAAGACUGUCAUGGAAUAGUGGAAUACAGAUGUUAGACUCGGAGAUAAAAGUUAUUAUCUAGAUCUCCCUAAAAUUAUUAUUUGGGAGUUGUGGAAAACAAGAAACAAAGGGAAACAUAAAGGGAAGCAGCUAUCUGAGCACAGUGUGUAGCACAACAUCAUUAGAAACAUUAGAUUAUUACUGAAAGUAAGAAAGCCAUACCAAGAAUUUCCUAAUACAUGGCCAGAAAUUUUGAUAGAGUUGGCAAGGCACAAAACAACGAUAAUAGUCAUAAAGGUAAAAUGGGAUUUUUCUCAACAAGAAUGGAUUAUAAUCAAUACAGAUGGAGCCUCUAGGGGGGAAAUUCGGGGGCAAGCUAUUAUGCAUUUUGUGUGAGGGAUUAUAAGGGGAUUUAGGGUAUGCAAAAGGAGAAAUCAUUGAAGAUACUACAAAUAUACAAGUAGGAGUAGAAGCUAUACUACAAGUAGCAUUACAUUGUAACAAGGCACAUAUUAGAAAAGUAGUCAUACAAACUGACUCUUUCAGCAUACUAAAGUUUUUAAAACAACAACAGUGUCCAUGGAGCAUAGAGGAUAAAGUAAAUCAAACAUGGAAGUUAUUGCAACAUAUAACAGUCCAGUAUCAGCACAUUCUGAGAGAAGGGAAAAAAUUGGUUGAUUACUUUGCUAAUUAUGCAUUUGAAGUAAAGGAAUUCACAUUCAUAAGCUUUCAACGGAUGCAAAAAACUAGAAAGGAAAUACUCAACAGUGAUAAAUCUUAGAUACCAUAGUUGAGAUUGUCACCUCAAAAAGGGUGAAAACAUAGAUCAAGCAAUUCUAAUAUACAGAAGCUUAUAUAAGUAAUCUAUUGCUUAGGCUACUAUACACAAGAAUACAAAGGUUCUAUCAGUAAAAAGAAAGUGGAUCUAUGGCAACCUAUGACCUAAGUGAUGGCUUUAAUCCAAAGGCUAGUAGAUAUCUACUCUGGUAUCUUUUUCCUGUCUACUACAAUAUUUAAGGAGAUCAAGUCGAGAAAAGAAAUUAUUACUCACAAGGUAGCUGCCACUUACUUAAGAAAUACAACCAGAUCCAGGAUAAUAGGACCUUUAAGGUGAUCAAAAAUGACUUUUGCUAUUCCAAAUGUCAAAGAUAUCACCUAGAUUUUGGACAGAGGAGGCAAGUCAAUCAAAGAGGAAAGCUAGAACAACAACAUAAAUGGAGAAGUAGCUACAUACAAUUAUAAGUGGAUAUAAGAGCUCAGAGAUAGCUUCCAUGGAAAGGAAUCAAUAACUGGAGCUGAAGAUGGACGCUGUAAAUGGUAGGCGGCAACAUUAAUUCUUAGAUAGAAAAGGUGGAAAAUGUGAAAUGUUUUAGGAAACCCUAUUUCUAAGGGUCUACAUCUCAAACUCGUUUAGG